AUUGAACGCUGGCGGCAGGCCUAACACAUGCAAGUCGAGCGGCAGCGGGAAAGUAGCUUGCUACUUUUGCCGGCGAGCGGCGGACGGGUGAGUAAUGCCUGGGGAUCUGCCCAGUCGAGGGGGAUAACUACUGGAAACGGUAGCUAAUACCGCAUACGCCCUACGGGGGAAAGCAGGGGACCUUCGGGCCUUGCGCGAUUGGAUGAACCCAGGUGGGAUUAGCUAGUUGGUGAGGUAAUGGCUCACCAAGGCGACGAUCCCUAGCUGGUCUGGGAUGAUGAUCAGCCACACUGGAACUGAGAUACGGUCCAGACUCCUACGGGAGGCAGCAGUGGGGAAUAUUGCACAAUGGGGGAAACCCUGAUGCAGCCAUGCCGCGUGUGUGAAGAAGGCCUUCGGGUUGUAAAGCACUUUCAGCGAGGAGGAAAGGUUGGUAGCUAAUAACUGCCAGCUGUGACGUUACUCGCAGAAGAAGCACCGGCUAACUCCGUGCCAGCCGCCGCAGUAA
rnacentral:rRNA from 1 species